GAUUGAGAGAUGGCGGAUGGAUGGAUGACUUCCUCUAAACGUGUGAAGAGAAGACGAGUGAUCGUGAGGAAGAGAGCAGCAUGGACACAAAGAGGGACUUCCGCUGUUCCACCUGUUGGUGGAGGUGGAGGAAGAGAUGGAGGGAUCAGCGGAGGGCAGGGAGUGGAGCUUACAGCCUUCUGACAGACACAGAGGAAUGCUAAAAAGGACAAGAGACAAACUCCAGGAGGCGGGGUCAGGAAGCAGGACGACUCACUUUAGUGUUCCUGUAGAUCAGUGUGAAGCUUCCACAACACACAUCUGCACACUGCUACUUUAAUAGUGUUGUACUGUGUAAGGAAAUCAGACCAAAUUACAAACAUGCAACUGUUUAAGAUAUUUCUCAGUGUACUCGUUCUCUUCAAAAACAUCUCCUCACUUCAUCUUGUCCUGAAGAACCCACUGCUGUCAUUCAAAUCUACAGGACAGGUGAGAUGUGGAGAUGAGGAGGUGAGAUGUGGAGAUGAGGAGGUGAGAUGAGGAGAUGAGGAGGUGAGA